rnacentral:rRNA from 1 species
AUGGCCAGGCCGGCGUCGUGCUUGGGAGCGGUCGCCAUCGUGCUGGUGUUGCUUGGCGCCGCCGUGUCCUCUGCGGCUGCGCAGCCGCGCCGCCCGCUGCCCCCGAACUCCCGCGUGAUCCACCCUGGUCGGUUCGGCAAGAGGACGCAGACACUCACCUGCGACAACACCAAGGACAAGAGGAACCCCUGCGUGGCCACCUGCGACAAGCGCUGUCCCAACGAGUGCCUCGUCCUCUGCCCCAGCUGCAAGACAUACUGCUUGUGCGACUUCUACCCUGGCAUGUCCUGCGGUGACCCCCGCUUCACCGGUGCCGAUGGCAACAACUUCUACUUCCACGGCAAGAAGGACCAGGACUUCUGUGUCAUCUCAGACGCUGACCUCCAUAUCAACGCUCAUUUCAUCGGCAAACGUAACCCCUCCAUGAGCCGAGACUUCACAUGGAUCCAGGCCUUGGGGAUCCGCUUCGCGGACCACCGCCUCUAUUUGGGUGCCCAGAAGACCUCCAAGUGGAAUAAUGACAUUGAUCGCCUCGAGUUGUCCUUCAACGGAGCACCGGUCGACAUCGCUACUGACAUUGGCGCACAGUGGCAAUCCAUCGCUGUGCCUGCCCUGACCGUCACAAGGACCUCCAUGACCAAUGGCGUGAGGGUCGAGCUUAAGGGUGUGUUCGACAUCAUGACUAAAGUUGUGCCCAUAACCGAGGAGGACUCCCGCAUCCACAACUAUGAUGUGACAGAGGAUGACAGCCUCGCGCAUUUGGAUAUUGGCUUCAAGUUCUACGGCCUCACUGACAAUGUACAUGGCAUUCUCGGCCAAACCUACCGCUUUGACUACGUUAACAAGCUCAACGUGAGUGCUAGCAUGCCUGUGAUGGGUGGUGUAGCAAGCUAUGUCUCCUCCGACAUCUUCGCCACCGACUGCAAGGUUGCUAGGUUCGGCCACAACGGCGGCAUCUCCAUGGUCACAGCCAGGGCCAACUAA